GUGGCAACCCUAAGAGAAACCUUGCAAAGUUUGAAAGCCGUUGAAAAUUUAAAGCGGCCGUACACUGCCUAAAGGUGUUUCCAGCGGUUUUACCGUAUUUACGGUGGAAUUCAUAGUCGUAGUAGGGGGCCCCUAAGGGGAUUAUUCAGCCGCUAUGUGUCGAAUUCAACCCCUACGCGUUUCAUAGACAAAAGAAACCCCUCAUUUGACAGGAACUGGCGGCUGACUGCUGAAUUACCGAUAUUUGUCAGCCAAACCAUCCCCUGGCAUUUUUUUUUGUUGUUAUUCGUGAUUUAUUUAUUAGAAAGUGGACGUUCGGAUCGUUAUAAGUGAAGUUAUAAACAGCGAGUUAUAUCAGUGUCCAAGAUAUAUAUUCGCAAUUGCGUAAACCCAGUAUAAUACUAUGGCGAUAUGGAAUGUACGAAAGAUUCUCAUAUUAGGCAUAAUAUGUCUCUGUUUGAUGAAGAAUGAACACAGAAGACCAAGAGAGGAAUACCAAUACCGCUAGUAUUAUACAUUCUAGCAGCACUUCGAUUCUAUGAAACGGGAUGUUAUCAGACUGUACGUGCAGUCCAUCAAGCAUUCUAUGAAAUAACAGAAAUGCCAAAAGUCAAGCUGUAUUGAUGUCACACAUAGGUAUACAUAUAAACAACCCCGGAGGACCCUAUGCACAGAUUUAAAGAAACCGGCUAUCAUGGCAGGGAAUAGCAGUGAUGAGCUCUGAGAAUUCUGUUUUACCAAGAAUACUGAGAAUACUUUGGUCCUUGAAAAUCUGAGUUUUCAGAUCACAGUAAUUGGAAGACCCUCAUACCUUGAAAAGUCAGCAGCAUUUAAUAUAAAAGUAGUAGGAGUGAGUGCAGUGUAUUGUAAGGUGGUCACUCACUCUGAAGUCCAUAAUAAUAGAAAAUAUAUACAAAUCUUAAUUGAAUGAAUGAUGGAAAAUAAAAAUUUAUUGAUUCACAUCUUUAAUAAAGAUAAUUAUUAAAUGUUUACUUCUGCAUUUUUCAUUUAAGUCUGGCCCUAUAAAAAUAUACAAUAAUAACAAUAAGUUAUAUGUAAAUUAUGUAUUUAUUGUUGUUAUUAAUUAAACUUGGUAUCAAAAGGAUAUAGGUUUGAUUUUAGAAUUGCAAUAAGUGUGUGUGGUUAUUAUCAGCCCAUUACCAGGCCAAGCUUACCUACUAAAUACAUAUAUAAUAUUAUGUGAUCUAAAGCUUUGUGAAAUGCAAUUUUACCACUAUUCCUAAGGAUAAGCUACACUUAUAUUUAUUUACUGCACUUACUAUAAAUUGUAAAAAAAUACAGCAUGAUAGUACCUACUUGUAAUUAUUUCAGGUAAUUAUAGGUGGUUUUGAGUAAACAAAUUUCCUCUGACAAUAUUUUUUUUAUUUCAAGUAGGAUUCCACAUUACAAAAGUAUGAAAUAUCAAACUACUUAUAUAGUAAAUAGUAUGCUUGGGAUUUCUCUGCGUGAUCGAAUCACAAAUGAGGAGAUCCGCAGACAAAACAAAGUCACUGACAUAGGUAGCACAGCGAGUCGUGAAGCUGAAGUGGCAAUGGGCAGGCCACAUAGUUCGAAGAGCCGAUGAAAUCGCAGUGUUGGUCGAACCCCCACUAGGUGGACCGAGGGCAUCAAGCGGGUUGCAGGGAGCCGCUGGACGCUGGCGUCUCGAGACCGUUGUGUUUGAAAGUCCAUGCAAGACGGCUAUGCCCAGCAGUGGACGUCCAUCGGCUGAUAAUUUUGAUUAUGAUCAUGUUCAUCCACAUAUCUUCAAUAUUUUUCUAACAACUCCUUCUUGUGAGAAAGAAACUUUUUGAUAAAAUUGAUCUAUUGUACUCUUGAACGAAUUAAAUUUUACUAUGAUAAAUAGAAACAAAAAAUAAAUGAAAAUAUUAGAAAAUAGAAACUCAAUUAUUUUGUAAAAUGUCAAAGAAUUAACAAAAUACGUCUCUCUGUGGUUCUGUCACAGCAUUUUCAAAGAUCUAAUGUCAAAUCAUAGACAACAUUUGCUUGAAACUCCAGUCACCUAGGGGCUCUCUAGUAGUUUGUUUAUGAAAUGCAAUGAAGGAUGAUUCAAUAGUCAGCCCCUGGGUGAAUACUGAAUAUUGGUUUGUGGGGGAUUGUUCACUUCACGACUAUGAAUUCCAGGGUAUGAAUUCCACCGAUAGUCGUAGUAGGGGGCCCCUAAGGGGAUUAUUCAGCCGCUAUGUGUCGAAUUCAACCCCUACGCGUUUCAUAGACAAAAGAAACCCCUCAUUUGACAGGAGCUGGCGGCUGACUGCUGAAUUACCGAUAUUUGUCAGCCAAACCAUCCCCUGGCAUUUUUUUUUGUUGUUAUUCGUGAUUUAUUUAUUAGAAAGUGGACGUUCGGAUCGUUAUAAGUGAAGUUAUAAACAGCGAGUUAUAUCAGUGCCCAAGAUAUACAACGUGUCCCAAAAUUCAACGAUAAGCGGGCGCCAAAAGAUUGACCUGCUCAUGAGCACUUAAGGAAAAAUAAUAAAAAAAAUAUACCUAAAUUUUUUUUUUAGUUACAAAAUAAAUUUUAAAAUUCUUUGAAAAUUUACACCUUGUAUGAUAUUUUGAACUACCGCAGCUACAAUUUCUUAAAUAUGCUUAAGAUUUUUUUUGUAUCGGAACCUAAGUAGUACUACUAUUCACCACAACUCUUAAAAACACCACAAUGCCCGCAGUUUUUACACAAAAAAAAAUCAAAAUAUUUUUUUUCCCUCAAAUUUUUAAAGAUUUUUACUUUCAGUCUACUUUGACUCAUGGUCUUGCAAAAAAAAGUAUGAACACCGCUAUGGCAAGUUAUUUUCAAAGUUGACGCAACUAAUCAAGAUUUCAAAAUAGUAUAAUACCCUAGGAUAACUAGUCACAAAAAAAAAUAUGCGUACCAUUUGUAAACAAGAACCAAAUUUCUUAAUUGUUCUUGUUGUUAGUAAUAAAUUUUACUAUGUUCCAAAAAUGUGUUUGUUAUUUUAAUUACACAACAUUAAAGUAAAUGUUCGAAUUGUUUUCCACCGGCAUUAAUACAGGCACGACAUCGCCUUAAAAACGACCGUUUUAUUUUUCGCGCAUAUCUUCUAGCAUUGAUAUGUGCCGCAGCCUGAGUGAUUUUUUGCCGAAGCUCGUCCAAUGUCGUAAUCGGUUUUGCGUAGAUCCUGUCUUUGAGACAACCCCAAUAAAAGAAAUCCAGGGGGUUUAGGUCGGGUGAUCGGGGUGGCCAUAGGAUAGGACCAAGUCGCCCGAUCCAACGCCCCGGAUACUCGUGGUCUAGGUAUUGUCUCACAGGACGAGCGUAGUGAGCUGGGCAACCAUCAUUUUGAUACCACAUAUUUUGAAGGUCGCUUAGGGGGACGUCUUCUAGUAAUUCUUGCAAAUCAUUUUGUAAAAAGUUCAAAUAACUGUCCCCAUCUAAGUUUCCUUGUAAUUCAAAAGGCCCAAUCACUUUUCCAUUUAAAAUGCCCGUCCAUAAGUUGACCUUAAAUUGAUAUUGGGAUUUGUCUUCUCUCAUCAGGUGCGGAUUCUCAUUGCUCCAGCUGUGUAGGUUGUGAAGAUUUAAAUAGCCAUCUUUCUUGCAGGUUGUUUCAUCCGACCAUAGUACUUUAUCCAAGAACUGAGGAUCUUCCCGAUGCUUUUGAAGCAUCACUCGGCAAAAUGCGAUCCGCAGUGGAUAGUCCCGUGAUAGUAACGUUUGUACACGUCUGUAAUGAUAUGGGUGUAGCCGAUGACGUUUUAGUAUUCGAUGUGCUGAACUUUUUGGGAUUCCCGUAGCUGCUUCUAUGGCACGCACUGAGGUAGUUGAAUCAAUGUUUAUUUCAUUGAGAACUUCUUCAUCGCAUUCCGAUCUAGGUCUUCCAGCGUUUCUUCUAGCUGACGGCAAACGACCCUCCGAAAACGCUUGAUGCACAUUCAUAAAUACCCGAUAAUCUGGAUAUCUUUGAGCGUUUGGGUACCUUUCUCGAUACAAUCUGCUAGCAGCGUUAGCAUUGCACCGACAUUCUCCAUAAAUGAGAUGCAUGUUAGCGUAUUCCAUCGGCGUGUAUGGUUGCGGCAUGAUAACGCUAAACAGUCCAAAAUACACCAAAAGUCCAAUUCACAAAACACAGGCACAGUCCAAAAUAAUGCCAGGUCAGUUCAGUUUGCAGAUCACUUAAGUCCAGUCCAAAAUGCAAAGCCAAAAGUCGUUAGUACGAGAGCCACGUCAAUUGAAUACGGAAAGUUGCGCAGUAAACAAAGGAGCAGAGCGUACUGACUUGCUGGGAACAGGAUUUUCUUUACCUGCAUCAUUGUCAUUCAACAAAGAACAUCUGUCUAUCCCUCUCUAACGUAUACUUAUCGCUAUCUUUCUCUCUCUCUCUCUCUCUUAUUUUUAAAUGUUAUCGUUCGUUCCAUUAAAAUUCUAGGAAAUUGCAACGUAUGACUCACAUCAUUUUGUGCAUAAAGUAAAAGUGAUUUCUAGGAGCAAAAACAUUUUAGAAAUUUAGUUCUUGUUUACAAAUGGUACGCAUAUUUUUUUUUUGCGACUAGUUAUCCUAGGGUAUUAUACUAUUUUGAAAUCUUGAUUAGUUGCGUCAACUUUGAAAAUAACUUGCCAUAGCGGUGUUCAUACUUUUUUUUGCAAGACCAUGACUCAAAGUAGACUGAAAGUAAAAAUCUUUAAAAAUUUGAGGGAAAAAAAAUAUUUUGAUAUUUUUUUGUGUAAAAACUGCGGGCAUUGUGGUGUUUUUAAGAGUUGUGGUGAAUAGUAGUACUACUUAGGUUCCGAUACAAAAAAAAUCUUAAGCAUAUUUAAGAAAUUGUAGCUGCGGUAGUUCAAAAUAUCAUACAAGGUGUAAAUUUUCAAAGAAUUUUAAAAUUUAUUUUGUAACUAAAAAAAAAUUUAGGUAUAUUUUUUUUAUUAUUUUUCCUUAAGUGCUCAUGAGCAGGUCAAUCUUUUGGCGCCCGCUUAUCGUUGAAUUUUGGGACACGUUGUAUAUUCGCAAUUGCGUAAACCCAGUAUAAUACUAUGGCGAUAUGGAAUGUACGAAAGAUUCUCAUAUUAGGCAUAAUAUGUCUCUGUUUGAUGAAGAAUGAACACAGAAUACCAAGAGAGGAAUACCAAUACCGCUAGUAUUAUACAUUCUAGCAGCACUUCGAUUCUAUGAAACGGGAUGUUAUCAGACUGUAGGUGCAGUCCAUCAAGCAUUCUAUGAAAUAACAGAAAUGCCAAAAGUCAAGCUGUAUUGAAGUCACGCAUAGGUAUACAUAUAAACAACCCCGGAGGACCCUAUACACAGAUUUAAAGAAACCGGCUAUCAUGGCAGGGAAUAGCAGUGAUGAGCUCUGAGAAUACUGUUUUACCAAGAUUACUGAGAAUACUUUGGUCCUUGAAAGUCUGAGUUUUCAGAUCACAGUAAUUGGAAGACCCUCAUACCUUGAAAAGUCAGCAGCAUUUAAUAUAAAAGUAGUAGGAGUGAGUGCAGUGUAUUGUAAGGUGGUCACUCACUCUGAAGUCCAUAACAAUAGAAAAUAUAUACAAAUCUUAAUUGAAUGAACGAUGGAAAAUAAAAAUUUAUUGAUUCACAUCUUUAAUAAAGAUAAUUAUUAAAUGUUUACUUCUGCAUUUUUCAUUUAAGUCUGGCCCUAUAAAAAUAUACAAUAACUAGCGGACGCCCGCGACUUCGUCCGCGUAAAAAUUGAUGUCAACUUUCAACCCCUAUUUCACAUUCUAUUUUGCAAGUUUUAAACCUUAUACCUAAUAAAUAGUCCAAUACCAUUUAUUUAUAAAUAUAAUCAUUUUACAUUUACAAAUGUACCUAGAAAAAUUAAGGAUUUUCCGUACAAACUUUCUACCCCUACUUCACCCAUUUCUGAUUUUGUUUUCGCGACAAAAAAUAUCCUAUUAUCCUUCUACGUAUUAUGGUCUCAAAUCGUCUUAAGUAUCAUUUGAAUUCAUUCUGUAGUUUCAGCGUGAUGCCUGGUCAAAAAAAAGGCAAACAGACAGACAAAAAAUAGAAAAUAGGCUUCAGUAUCGAUCUCCUACCUCUACCCUACUCCUACCCUACCCGUAUCCUAACUGUAUCCUACCCCUACCCUACCCGUACCCUACCCUACCCGUAAUCUUCCCUUUCCCUACCCCUAGGAUAGGGGUAGGCCCUAACCCUACCCUACCCCUAACCUAGGCAUACACUCCCCUACCCCACCCAACCCCUACCCUACCUUUACCCCUACCCUACCCUUACACAACCCCUACCCUACCUGUACCCUACCCUACUCUACCCUAUACCUUCCCUACCUUACCCCAACCCUUAGCAAAAUCGGUCCAGCCCUAUGAGCGUGGUGCGAUGACAAAGGACAAUAGAGACUUCUAUGCCAAAACUUAUAAUCUUUGGAUCUACUGGACCGAUUUGAAAGAUUGUUUUACCAAUAGAAAGCUACGUUAUUUGCGAGUGUCAUAGGCUAUGUUUGAUUCCCAUAUUCACACAGGAAUGGGAACUACGUUAUUGAAAGCGCGGGGCGUCAUGUAGUGGAAUUUCUGCAUAAAGCCUCCAUACAUUAAUUUCAAUUUUACACAAUGGUUAAGGCAGCGCAUGCGAAUAAGUCUGCUUAAGAGGAUUUUCGGUCCGACCUGUAUGACAAAAACUGUGUUAACUCUGCGAAUAUAUAUCAUACUAAUAUAAAAUAUAGCCUAUAGCACUCCCCGAUAAUGUAGCAUUCCACUGGUGAAAGAAUUUUUGAAAUCGGACCAGUAGUUCCGAAGAUUACCCCAUUUAAAAAAUGUGACAAACUUACAAACUUUACCUCUUUAUAAUAUUAGUAUAGAUAACAAUAAGUUAUAUGUAAAUUAUGUAUUUAUUGUUGUUAUUAAUUAAACUUUGUAUCAAAAGGAUAUAGGUUUGAUUUUAGAAUUGCAAUAAGUGUGUGUGGUUCAUUAUUAUCAGCCCAUUACCAGGCCAAGCUUACCUACUAAAUACAUAUAUAAUAUUAUGUGAUCUAAAGCUUUGUGAAAUGCAAUUUUACCACUAUUCCUAAGGAUAAGCUACACUUAUAUUUAUUUACUGCACUUACUAUAAAUUGUAAAAAAAUACAGCAUAAUAGUACCUACUUGUAAUUAUUUCAGGUAAUUAUAGGUGGUUUUGAGUAAAAUAAACAAAUUUCCUCUGACAA